rnacentral:rRNA from 1 species
UACGUAGGGUGGAAGCGUUAAUCGGAAUUACUGGGCGUAAAGCGUGCGCAGGCGGUUAUGCAAGGCAGAUGUGAAAUCCCCGGGCUCAACCUGGGAACUGCAUUUGUGACUGCAUGGCUAGAGUACGGUAGAGGGGGAUGGAAUUCCGCGUGUAGCAGUGAAAUGCGUAGAUAUGCGGAGGAACACCGAUGGCGAAGGCAAUCCCCUGGACCUGUACUGACGCUCAUUCACGAAAUCGUGGGGAGCAAACAGG